rnacentral:misc_RNA from 1 species
AACGCACAUUGCGCCCUCUGGUAUUCCGGAGGGCAUGCCUGUUCGAGCGUCAUUUCAACCCUCAAGCCUGGCUUGGUGAUGGGGCACUGCCUUCUAACGAGGGCAGGCCCUGAAAUCUAGUGGCGAGCUCGCUAGGACCCCGAGCGUAGUAGUUAUAUCUCGUUCUGGAAGGCCCUGGCGGUGCCCUGCCGUUAAACCCCCAACUUCUGAAAAUUUGACCUCGGAUCAGGUAGGAAUACCCGCUGAACUUAA